AUUACUUUGGCAGAAUUAAGUGCAAUAAAUUUAGAAUUUAAUAAUAUAAUUUUAUUUAUAAGUAAUA
rnacentral:tRNA from 1 species